CUGAAGUCUAACAUUCUGUCAUUUGAGUAGGAGCAAUCAAUGGCCACUACCUUACGUUCUGAUGCCUUCUCAGGAGAUGCAUUACAUCAAUUUUUCAGAUUUGAUUUUAGAAGAAUGAAGUUAUGAAUGUGAAGGGACAGACUAUUACCAAUGCAAAUUCAGUGAAUAAAUAUGAUCAUGGUUAUUUACAUCAUCAAGGACUAUCUAUUAAAAUGAAGAGUAUCCC
rnacentral:lncRNA from 1 species